CUGGCCCUGAAUUCGGCUCUGGAAGCUGCAUGCAGCUGGGUUUUGAGGUUCAUAAAGUCUAGAAGCAGCAGCAGCAGCAGCAGCAGCAGCAGCAGCAGCAGCAGCAGCAGCAGCAGCAGCAGCUCAG
rnacentral:miRNA from 14 species